rnacentral:rRNA from 1 species
UACGAAGGGGGCUAGCGUUGCUCGGAAUCACUGGGCGUAAAGGGUGCGUAGGCGGGUCUUUUAAGUCAGGGGUGAAAUCCUGGAGCUCAACUCCAGAACUGCCUUUGAUACUGAAGAUCUUGAGUUCGGGAGAGGUGAGUGGAACUGCGAGUGUAGAGGUGAAAUUCGUAGAUAUUCGCAAGAACACCAGUGGCGAAGGCGGCUCACUGGCCCGAGUACUGACGCUGAGGCACGAA